ACGCUGACAGAAUGCUUAACACAUGCAAGUCUUUGGCGAAGCUGUGCUUGCACAGCCUAGCCAAGGCGGACGGGUGAGUAACGCGUAAGGAACUUGCCCUGCAGUCAGGGAUAACAGACGGAAACGACUGAUAAGACCUGAUAAAGUCAGGCGGACUCAUGUCCAGCCUGAUGAAAAGAGAUGCUGCAGGAGAGCCUUGCGUCCUAUUAGCUUGUUGGUGGGGUAACGGCCCACCAAGGCGAUGAUAGGUAGCCGGCCUGAGAGGGUGGACGGCCACAAGGGGACUGAGAUACGGCCCUUACUCCUACGGGAGGCAGCAGUGGGGAAUAUUGGACAAUGGGGGCAACCCUGAUCCAGCAAUUCUGUGUGCACGAUGAAGGUUUUCGGAUUGUAAAGUGCUUUCAGCAGGGAAGAAAAAAAUGACGGUACCUGCAGAAGAAGCGACGGCUAAAUACGUGCCAGCAGCCGCGGUAAUACGUAUGUCGCAAGCGUUAUCCGGAAUUAUUGGGCAUAAAGGGCAUCUAGGCGGCCAGAUAAGUCUGGGGUGAAAACUUGCGGCUCAACCGCAAGCCUGCCCUGGAAACUAUGUGGCUAGAGUACUGGAGAGGUGGACGGAACUGCACGAGUAGAGGUGAAAUUCGUAGAUAUGUGCAGGAAUGCCGAUGAUGAAGAUAGUUCACUGGACGGUAACUGACGCUGAAGUGCGAAAGCUAGGGGAGCAAACAGGAUUAGAUACCCUGGUAGUCCUAGCUGUAAACGAUGAUUACUGGGUGUGGGCAUGAAGAGUGUCCGUGCCGAAGCUAAUGCGAUAAGUAAUCCGCCUGGGGAGUACGGCCGCAAGGCUGAAACUCAAAGGAAUUGACGGGGACCCGCACAAGCGGUGGAGCAUGUGGUUUAAUUCGA
rnacentral:rRNA from 1 species